rnacentral:lncRNA from 1 species
UUGGUGGUAAACUUGUGGGGAAUGGCAAAUGUAGAGAAAUACAACAAUAAUGGUGGAACUUUAUUAUGUAAAGUAAUGUGUUUACAACUAACUCUGUAUGUAGGAAGAAACUGUAGAAAUUUUGUGUGCUUCAAGGCACGUUACAAAUGUCGCUUUCCUUAAGACGUUAUUUGCCCCCACCAAUUGAGUGAUGCACAUGGGUUAAGCAAAUACGCCUCCAGGAUACAAUGAAGCACUUGUUUGUUUGCUUGAGUUGUGCAUC